rnacentral:rRNA from 1 species
AGGUCAUGCAUGUCUAGUAUAAGCAAUUAUACAGCGAAACUGCGAAUGGCUCAUUAUAUAAGUUAUCGUUUAUUUGAUAGUACCUUACUACUUGGAUAACCGUGGUAAUUCUAGAGCUAAUACAUGCUAAAAAUCCCGACUUCGGAAGGGAUGUAUUUAUUAGAUUAAAAACCAAUGCCCUCUGGGCUCUCUGGUGAUUCAUGAUAACUUCUCGAAUCGCAUGGCCUUGCGCCGGCGAUGGUUCAUUCAAAUUUCUUCCCUAUCAACUUUCGAUGUUUGGGUAUUGGCCAAACAUGGUCGCAACGGGUAACGGAGGGUUAGGGCUCGACCCCGGAGAAGGAGCCUGAGAAACGGCUACUACAUCCAAGGAAGGCAGCAGGCGCGCAAAUUACCCAAUCCCGACACGGGGAGGUAGUGACAAUAAAUACUGAUACAGGGCUCUUUCGGGUCUUGUAAUUGGAAUGAGUACAAUUUAAAUCCCUUAACGAGGAACAAUUGGAGGGCAAGUCUGGUGCCAGCAGCCGCGGUAAUUCCAGCUCCAAUAGCGUAUAUUAAAGUUGUUGUGGUUAAAAAGCUCGUAGUUGAACCUUGGGCCUGGCUGGCCGGUCCGCCUCACCGCGUGUACUGGUCCGGCCGGGCCUUUCCCUCUGUGGAACCUCAUGCCCUUCACUGGGCGUGACGGGGAAACAGGACUUUUACUGUGAAAAAAUUAGAGUGCUCCAGGCAGGCCUAUGCUCGAAUACAUUAGCAUGGAAUAAUGAAAUAGGACGUGCGGUUCUAUUUUGUUGGUUUCUAGGACCGCCGUAAUGAUUAAUAGGGACAGUCGGGGGCAUCAGUAUUCAAUUGUCAGAGGUGAAAUUCUUGGAUUUAUUGAAGACUAACUACUGCGAAAGCAUUUGCCAAGGAUGUUUUCAUUAAUCAGGAACGAAAGUUAGGGGAUCGAAGACGAUCAGAUACCGUCGUAGUCUUAACCAUAAACUAUGCCGACUAGGGAUCGGACGAUGUAAAUAAUUGACUCGUUCGGCACC